rnacentral:tRNA from 1 species
GGCCCGUUGGUCAAGCGGUUGAGACACCGCCCUUUCACGGCGGUAACACGGGUUCGAAUCCCGUACGGGUCA